rnacentral:rRNA from 1 species
AUUGAACGCUGGCGGCAUGCUUUACACAUGCAAGUCGAACGGCAGCGCGGGCUUCGGCCUGGCGGCGAGUGGCGAACGGGUGAGUAAUGCAUCGGAACGUGCCCAGCAGUGGGGGAUAGCCCGGCGAAAGCCGGAUUAAUACCGCAUACGACCUGAGGGUGAAAGCGGGGGACCGAAAGGCCUCGCGCUAUUGGAGCGGCCGAUGUCGGAUUAGCUAGUUGGUGAGGUAAAGGCUUACCAAGGCGACGAUCCGUAGCUGGUCUGAGAGGACGACCAGCCACACUGGGACUGAGACACGGCCCAGACUCCUACGGGAGGCAGCAGUGGGGAAUUUUGGACAAUGGGGGCAACCCUGAUCCAGCCAUGCCGCGUGCGGGAAGAAGGCCUUCGGGUUGUAAACCGCUUUUGUUCGGGAAGAAAUCCUCUGGGCUAAUACCCCGGGGGGAUGACGGUACCGGAAGAAUAAGCACCGGCUAACUACGUG